AAGAACGAUGGCAAAAUGUGAAAUUCAAGUCAUCGUGGCUUUGGGGGGUAGCGGGUGGGACAGGUGCAUAAAAUAACAGCCAACUUUCGUUAUUUUAUAAAGCGUAAUUUUUUAAUAUGUUAUUCGGAAUAACAUUACAAACCAUCUUAUUUAUUGCCAGACACUUUUUAUGGUGGCAAUCCCUUGCCAGACGCCCUAAAACUUUAAUAAAUUUUAAUUCUACUUUCGUUAUAGUAUAAAAGUUAAAAUUUAUACAUGUUAUUUGGGUGACUAUUAGAAGAUGUUUUCUCAGUUGCCAGACAGUUUCGACAGUUCCUACCUAGGCCAGACAAACAUAUUGGAUCCCAAUACCAAGGGUAUAGGUACGAGCGCGAGGCAAUAUAUAAUCGUAUAGGUGCGAGUGAGAUAGCGCGUCAGGAGCGAUCGAAUGAUGUUAUUGUGUAAUUAUUUACGACUUAGUAUUUAAAUAAAAGUUUAAAAAUUAACCUAUUUGGUAAAUUACUAAAUAAUGUGGAAAUUUAAUGCGAAAUUAAACUUCUCAUUCAAAUUUGAUUGCAUAGCUAAUACAUAAAAGGAAUGAAAAUAUUUCUUUUGUAAUUACGACAUAUAGGCUAUAGAAAUUAUUUAUCAUAUCUAAUUAAUAGAAAUAUUUAUUUAAAUUUUCAAAGAAGCGCAUUGUUUCUUUUGAAAUUUACCAAAAUUAUAAACAUUCUUCAUAGCUUUCAUUAUUAAUAUUGCUUUCGUAAUUUUCUUCAUACUCUUCAUCACUGCUGCACCAUAUUUCUUCUGGCUCAUUGUCAGUGUCAUCUUCUUCGUUAGUUUCUGUAAAAAAGGUUACACAAUUAUGAAAAGUAAAAAUUUAUGUAUAAUAAUUUGAAGUAAUAUGUAUAUACCUGAUAUAGUUUGCAGUGCAUCACUGACAAAAUUCGGUAACUGAUCGCCUUCAAACCAUUUAAAAUUGUAUUGGCUGUUAACUUGUACCCAACCAUAGUUUGCUGGUUCAUGUAUUGAUGGAAUUUUCUUAUGAGCAUUAUUCCAAAUGCUGGAUAUAUAAUUAGCUCGUCGAAAUUGUUGGAAUAGCUCUGAUUUACAGGGUGGCAGACUGUUCCCAUCAAAAUUGCGUAUUUUUUUUCGCUGAAACGCUCAUUAACAUCGCAGACCGUAUAAUUAUUAAUAAACAAUUGAGGACGGGCAGCAUCAACAUCAAUUAUCGUACCAACAUUAUAUAUAUCACAUAUGAAUGCUGUAUUAUGUCUAAAGUGCUUUGUAUUUCACUACCAUCUUCCUAGACUACCUAUGAAUAAUUUUUCAAAAGAUUAUGAGAAAAAAAUAAAAUUCGAGUUGGUGGUACAAUACAAGAAGUUAAAAUUCAGAGAGAUCUGUUUGGACGUAUGCUGGGAAUAUCCAUGGAUCAUAAUAUAGAUAUUUUGAAAAUUUUAUCACAUCCAAUUACCUCAGUGCCUUUGUCCAUGUGCCAUUUGGAUGGUACCAUUUGCAAGACGGAUAAAUCUGCCUUAAUGAAAUGUUUGGAAAAAGAGGUAGAGCAUGAACCAGCACGUUAUGUAGAUGUCGUAAUAAUUGAUGGAUUCUUUAUGUUGCAUACGAUGAAAAACAUUCCAAAAACAUUUGGCAGCAUUUCUAAAAAAAUGUUGCAAAUGGUUACUCAAAUGCGAGCAUCACGAGUUGACGUUAUAUUCGACCACAUCCAAUUACCUCAGUGCCUUUGUCCAUGUGCCAUUUGGAUGGUACCAUUUGCAAGACGGAUAAAUCUGCCUUAAUGAAAUGUUUAGAAAGAGAGGUAGAGCAUGAACUACCACGUUAUGUAGAUGUCGUAAUAAUUGAUGGAUUCUUUAUGUUGCAUACGAUGAAAAAUAUUCCAAAAACAUUCGGCAGCAUUUCUAAAAAAAUGUUGCAAAUGGUUACUCAAAUGCGAGCAUCACGCGUUGACGUUAUAUUCGACCAAUACUUUACACCAUCGAUCAAAGAUUACGAACAUACCCAGUGAUUCGAAUCCGCACAAUUGGAGUACACCAUAACUGGAACUGAUCAAAUUCGGCCGAGUGACUUUGCAAAAGAAUAAAAAUUCUAACUUUAAAACGGCUUUUGUUGACUUUUUUGUAUCGCAUUGGGCCACUGACGAAAUGGCGCCAUUUACUGGUAAUAAAACCAUCCAUAUCAAUUUUAAACAUUGCCAGUCUUUUGUUGUUAAUGGGUACAACAGCGUAGAAUCCAGGAUUUUGGAAGAGUUAUCAUGUCCUCAACAUGAAGAGACUGAUACUAAAAUAAUAUUUCAUGUCAUCAAUAACUCAGCGCUAGCGAAUAUAGUUAUCAGAAGUAUCGAUACCGAUAUUGCUGCUAUCAUGCUUGGUCAUAUGCACCAUAUACCAAAUGAUUCCCGUGUUUGGAUGCUAACAGGUACUGGAAAUAAUUUAAGAUAUGUAGACCUCACAAAGAUACACACCAAGUUAGGCGACUCCAUUUGCAAAAGCUUACCUGAGUUUCAUGCAAUCACAGGUUGCGAUUAUAACCCAGACUUUUUUCGAAAAGGAAAAUUAGGACCGUACAAAAUAUUAAUUACUACAGAAAAAUAUCAAAAGGCAUUUAUAAAAUUCGGCGACACUCAAUUAUUUGAAGAUGAUAGUGAAAUACAAAGCACUUUUGACAUAAUACAGCAGUUCAUAUGUGAUAUAUAUAAUGUUGGUACGAUAAUUGAUGUUGAUGCUGCCCGUCUUCAAUUGUUUAUUAAUAAUUAUACGGUCUGCGAUGUUAAUGAAGCGUUUCAGCGAAAAAAAAUACGCAAUUUUGAUGGGAACAGUCUGCCACCCUGUAAAUCUGAGCUAUUCCAACAAUUUCGACGAGCUAAUUAUAUAUCCAGCAUUUGGAAUAAUGCUCAUAAGAAAAUUCCAUCAAUACAUGAACCAGCAAACAAUGGUUGGGUACAAGUUAACAGCUAAUACAAUUUUAACCCUCAUUUGUACUGAUGGGUCCAGGCAGACCUUUUUGAACUUUAAAUCACUAUUUCAUAUACUAGCACACACGUUUAUGUUUCAAUACUUCAUGAUAUCCUAGACGAUAUAUUUUAGUAUGAUUUUUUUCAUAUAUAUAUUUAUAAAAAUUGAUAAAUAGUUUUUAAAUUAUAGUUUUCAACCGAAAAGUCAUAUUGAGUACUAAUGGGUCUGGCCAGACCCAUGCGCUCAUUACGCAACGGGAACAUAUUUUUGUAUGAAUCUUGUUAUUCUAUUCAUGAUUUGUUUUGCUCAUUUGAAUUUAAAGUUCCGUUAUCAAAAACAUUGUUGGUUUUCACAUAUUAGAUGUUGUCAUUUGAAGUUAGAAGUGGAAAGUGAUGUUCACAUUCAAGUAAAGAAUAAUCGGUGGUAUUCUGUGAAAGUGUGUAUUUAUUGAAUAAAAAUGAGUAAAAUAUAUUUCAUAUAUGAUAAUGUGCGCGUAGUGAUCCAAAUUUUUAUGACUUGGUUGCAAAUGCUUUGGCAGAAGAGAUUGAAAACAACAGUGAAAAUGAUGAUAAUGAUCUUGAUUUCGGCGCCUCAGAAAUAGAAAAUGAGUUGGAAUUUGAAGCUUCAGAUGUUGAAGCUGAACAUGAAAUUGAAGUCGCUGAAGAAUAUAGUAGCACAGAUAGCGACGAUGAUUUGAAUACUGAUGAAGGUAACAACUUUAUUGGCAAAGACGGGACCGUUUGGAGUAAGGCAGCACCUCAAAGUUGUCGUGUUCGCUCCCAUAAGGUACUGUGUUCAUCCGGUGGAUCGACAAUCACAUCAUGUUCGCCUGUUGAGGUUAUCGAUGCGUUUUUUACACCAAACAUGUCAUACAUCAUUGUAAGCGAAACCAGCAAUUACGGUACGGAAAAAACCAAUGAAUGGAACUUUAAAAAUCCCAACAAAUUGAAAGAAUGGCAAAGCUUUACAGAAACUGCAAUAACAAUAGUCAGGCUGCAUCAGUUUUAUGGAAAACAAACCAAUUGCCAAUUUUCAGAGCAACGAUGUCUUACCGUCGGUUUUUGACCAUAUCCCGUUAUAUACGAUUUGAUGACGGUCGCACUAGACCUUUCCGCUUAGAAACAGAUAAAGCGGCACCUAUACGAGAUAUUUGGAACUUUCUAAAUGCAAAUCUCCAGAAGAAUUUUCGUCCAUAUAGCGACAUAACUGUUGACGAACAACUUUUUCCGUAUCGAGGAAGAACGAAUUUACUCAGUACAUACCUUCAAAACCGGCUAAGUACGGUAUAAAAAUAUGGUGGGCUUGUGACGCAAAAACUCAUUAUCCUUUGAGUGGAAAUAUCUAUACCGGAAAAGAACCCAACGAAGGGAGAGCAAAGAACCAAGGGGAAAAUGAGCUAAUAAGUUUGGUUUCAAAAUAUUCAAAUUCUGGGUGCACAAUAGUAGCUAAAAACUUUUUUUCCACUUUAAAUUUAUGUAAGGGGCUAAUAAGCUUGGGGCUGUCCUUCGUUGGAACCCUUCGAAGCAAUAAAGCAUGUAUCCCACCUAAAAUGAAGAAAAACAAGAAUAGGGCAGUUCUUUCAUCUGAGUUUGGAUUUCAUCAAGACAACGUAGCCAUUUGUUCAUAUGUUCCUAAGAAAAACAAAGCGGUAAUAUUACUGUCCACGGUACAUUACGAUAAGGAAGUUGAAGGCGUCAAACGAAAACCAGCAGCAAAAAUGCAUUACAACAAAAAUAAAGUUGGUGUUGAUGUCAUGGACCAAAUGCUAACGCAUUACACUACCAAAAGAAAAACUAAGAGAUGGACUCUUGCAUUUUUUAUAAUAUUGUUGAUGUAAUGGCAUUAGGAAAUUUUAUUAUAUGCAAAGAAAAUAACAAUUACACUAAAUCAGACGCUCGUAGAAAGUUUUUAUAUGAUUUGUCCGAAAUGUUAGCUCAUCCGCAAGUCCAGUCGAGACGUAACAAUAUACAUAUAAUAAAGCAUUCCGUUUGCCGUUCCGCAAUUGAAGAUAUUUUGGGAAAAUUUUAGGUAUGUAUUCAGUAAUGUUAUAUAUAUAGGGCAAACACAUUUACAAGUUACAAAAUUUAUUUUACAGAAACAACCAAAUACGCUAACAGACACCAAAAGUGAGACUUUAGAAAAGAAAAGGAACUGCAGCUUAUGCCAUGCUCAAGACAAACAUCGUCGUAAAACAAGGUUCUUUUGCAAAGAGUGCGCAGAUGCUGUAUGUCAACAACAUUCAAAAUGUUAUUACAAAUGCUUUAAGUGCAUAAAGGAAAAUUAAUUCUAUUUUUAAUCUUUUACUUGCUUUUCGUGAAUACUUUAUUUGAGUUUUUAAAAUGUUAUUUGAAAUAAAAAAAUUAAAGAUUCUCCAAAAUGAUGUUAGGUUUGCUUUUGGAUCCAGCUAGGCCCAUUGGUACUCUAUAUUACAAUCCAAGUAUCCGUCAAAAUGAGGGUUAAAUGGUUUUAAGGCGAUCAGUUACCGAAUUUUGUCAGUGAUGCACUGCAGGUAUAUACAUAUUACUUCAAAUUAUUAUAAAAAAAUUUUUACUUUUCAUAAUUGUGUAACUUUUUUUACAGAAACUAACGAAGAAGAUGACACUGACAAUGAGCCAGAAGAAAUAUGGUGCAGCAGUGAUGAAGAGUAUGAAGAAAAUUACGAAAGCAAUAUUAAUAAUGAAAGCUAUGAAGAAUGUUUAUAAUUUUGGUAAAUUUCAAAAGAAACAAUGCGCUUCUUUGAAAAUUUAAAUAAAUAUUUCUAUUAAUUAGAUAUGAUAAAUAAUUUCUACAGCCUAUAUGUCGUAAUUGCAAAAGAAAUAUUUUCAUUCCGUUUAUGUAUUAGACCAAAGAGUGUAAGCGGCACCGUUAUGUCGCCGCGUGUGCAUAAGAAAAAAUUAAAAACUGAUACUGGUCAGCGCAUUGGCACUGACCAAAACUUCUUUUCGCCUCUACAAACUCUCGACGAUACAGAGAAUGUUGAAAAAAGUGACGAAGAAUGUGAACAAAUUGUAAAUAACAAAACAUACGUCCCACCCAUUACGGUACUUAAGUGCACAGUGGAACAACUACAUAAAAUUUGCAAAGAAAUAAAUUGCACCAAAUACUCUAUAAAAAAAUAUCGAUUCGAAUAAAGCUCUAUUGUGUGUUAAAAUCAGACUAUGAAGCGGCCUGUCAUUACAUGCAAGGCAAAUUUGAAUACUUCUCAUAUGCCAACAAGAACGAGAAACGAUACAAAGCAAUUCUCCUGGGGCUCGAUGUUAUGGACACUACAGUCCAGCUUGUUCAAAGAAUGAGGCCUAAUAACUCCAUAUUAAUUUUAUAUGUGGUAUAUUUUACCAACAAGUCUACAUCUCUGAAUAUUCUCAGAAAAAAUCAUGCUGUUAUAAAAUACGUGAGAGUAAAAUGGGAAUACCAAAAGCGAAAUAGUAAUAAACUAACGCAAUGCUAUAACUGUCAAAUGUUUGGCCACGGAUCCAGUCGCUGUGCAGUAAAGGCGUAUUGUUCAUUAUGUGCGGGAAACCACAAAACUACGGACUGUAAAGAGGAGUCAGCUAUUAAAUGUGCAAAUUGUAACGGGCCCCACAAGUCUAACUUCUACGAAUGCCCGAGUAGAUUAAGUUAUAUUAAUUAUUAUUAUAAAUAUAAUAAACAGCAGAAUCUUUCUAAACUUAAGACAAACAACAUUAUUAAUGCUCCUCGUAUAAAUGACAGAAACUUGUUUCCAAACUCACUUAGCCAAACAAUCUCACCGGCAAACCCUACUUGGGUAACUUCGCAACAAUUAAAUUCACCAAACAGCAAUGAAGAACUUUUCAGUAUUGAAGAGAUAAAGUCACUCACGUUCGAUUUAAUUAAAAAUCUAAGAAAUUGUAAAUCAAAAUCAGAUCAGUUUGAAGUUAUAACCUCACUAGCUUGCAAAUUUCUUAAAUAAUGUUGAACCGCUUAUUAAUUGUCACUUGGAAUGCCAGAGGCAUUCGAUCUAAAAAAGAUGAGCUUUUCAAUUUCAUCAUGAAUAGAAACAUUGAUAUUUGUUUACUAACCGAAACGUGGCUAAAUGAUAAAGUUUCUAUAAAAAACAAUUCAUAUUAUAUAUACAGAAAUGAUAGAACUAACAAUAAGGGGGGAGGGGUAGCCAUAAUCAUUAAAAAAUCUAUUCGCCAUACCCUUUACCACGAAAGCUAUAGAAUGCAUUGGCAUUAAUGUACUUUGCCCCACAGCGAAUCCUAUAUCAAUCCACUGCUGCUAUUUUCCUGGAGGCCAAUCAAGCCCCGAACUUAAACGUAACUUUGAAAAUGACUUAAAGCUGCUCACUCGAGCUACAGGAAAGUACCUAUUGGGAGGAGAUUUUAAUUGUCGCCAUAGCUCUUGGGGCUGUUACCGUGCAAAUAAUUGGCGUGGCAUUCUGCAUGAUCAUUCGUCAUUAAGAGGUAUCAGUGUGUUACACUCAACAGUACACUCAUACGUGCCCGCUAAUAGUCGCAGCAGAACUUCUAAUCUAGAUCUGUUCUUAACAAACUACCACCAAGUGUUUUCUAACACUAAGGCAAUAAAUGAUUUAGGAUCCGAUCACCUACCUGUGCAAACUCUUUUUCACACAAAUUUUACCUCAGUAAAAAUAUUUAGAUACGUAUUUAAUAAAGCCAACUGGGCAAAAUUUGGUAAACUGGUUAAUCUGCACCUAAAUUGCAUUGAUCAAGCAGCGGUCAGAAAUACAGACGACAUUGAUAGGUUAAUAAACAACUUCAACGAGGCAAUCUGUUGUGCGAAAGCAGGUAGUAUUCCAAAAAAGAGUAUAUACUCUCACACAAAGCCACUUCCUCAAAAUAUCAUUGCACUUAUAAAACGUAGAAAUCGACACCGGCGGAAUUGGUUGAGAUACAGAAAUACGGCCGAUCUCGUCCUAGUGAGAUGGCUUAGUCAUGUUAUUGUCAAUAAGAUUUUUGUUCUCAGAAACGAAAAUUGGAACAAUCUUUUAGCAACGUUAGAGGAUAAUUCUUCCCCAUUUUGGAAACUAUCUAAAGUGGUCAAGAAGAAACGUUCUAGCAUACCAACAUUACGACAAAAUGCUUGCUACUUUUCCACACCAUUACAAAAGGCGGACAUUUUAGCAGAUACAUUUAAAAUGAAUCAGUGUCACUCUAACAACCUCAGCGAUCAUGCAACCAUAUCAGAAGUCAACAACUUUGUGUGCGAUUUAGACUCUCAGAUAAUAACCUCCGAACAGACAUUUUUUACAACUAUCUCUGAGAUCUCCUCAAUUAUCACAAAUCUUAAAACAUCUAAAUCGCCGGGAUUAGAUAAUAUACAAAAUCUAUGCCUCAAGGCCCUGCCUAGAAAAUGAUUAAAGUAUCUCACAAGAAUUAUAAAAGAAUGUCUUCGUUUAUGCUACUUUCCGUCCCAGUGGAAGCUUUCAAAGGUUGUACCAAUAUUAAAGCCCAACAAACCUGCAGAAUGCCCAACGUCAUAUCGCCCAAUAAGUUUGCUGUCAUCAGUAAGUAAAAUUUUUGAAAAAGUUAUAAAAGAAAGACUGUCGACCUUCAUGGAAGACAAUGAAGUGCUCCCGUCAGUGCAAUUUGGUUUCCGACGUGAACAUAAUACCUUACACCCAUUGCUUAGAAUAAAAAAAAUCAUAAAAACAAAUUUUACAAACUCUAAGUCCACUGGUAUGGUUUUACUAGAUAUCAAAGCUGCAUUCGACUCUGUUUGGCACGACGGGCUCUUGUACAAAAUGAUGCUCUUGAAAUUUCCCUUAGUUUAUAUUAAAAUUAUACAAAGUUUUUUGACCAACCGAUCAUUUACAGUCCACCUAGGCGAAGCUCAUUCUCGCAAAAUUGACAUCAAUGCUGGUUGUCCCCAAGGUUCGUGUCUGUCUCCAUUGUUGUACAACAUUUUUACUUCGGAUUUCCUACCUCUAAGUAAGAGCGCAGCUCAGGCUUCAUUGCUCAGGCUUCAUUGCAGCUGAUAUCACAAAUUCGCUCCAAGAGGACUUUAAUAUCCUUGUCUCUUACUUUAACAAGUGGAAAAUACUGGUUAAUACCGCCAAGACCAAAGCAAUUUUUUUCACGAGGAAGCGUAAAAGCAUCUUUCUUCCAACAAGUCAUAUUUCACUUAACUCUUUCGAUGUCAACUGGGAAAAGACUGUUAGAUAUUUAGGACUGAUACUAGAUCGUAGACUGACCUUUAAAGACCACGUGCUUUACAUCAUUAAAAAAACUAACAUACUAAUAUGGUCGUUAUACCCAUUUAUAAACAGAAGAUCAGAACUUAGUAUAACAAACAAAAUGUAUCUAUUCAGGUCUAUUUUCCAAGCUGUGGUUUUUUAUGGUAUGGGCCGAUUUCGCGAACUCCCACAUCCACAAACUUCAAGUGGCCCUAAAUAAAAUAUUAAAAAUAAUUUUCAACCCACCAUAGCAUUUUUCUACCUCCGAAUUACAUGACAGAGCUAAUGUUGAAUUAGUCGCAGAUAGAUUGUCCCGACUAAAUAGAAGGUUUAACGAACGCUGUGAGUAUUCCAUAUACUCUCAUAUUAAUGAAUUAAUUAAUUAACUUAUGUAAAAUAUAUUCUUAGUUAUAAAGUAGAAAUAAGUAGGUUAAGAUAAUAUUCUUCAAGGGUUUUUUGUUAAUUUUUCCCCUACAAAACUGUAUUAUUUAUAGUAACAUUUCAUAGCUCAUUCUCAAAUAAUUUUUAAGUAGAAAAGGGAAAAUCGCCUGUACUCUUAACUUAUAUACAUUAGUCACUGUAAAUACAUAUAUUAUAAGAAGAAGUGAAAUAAAUUUGAAUUUGAAUUUGAAUUUUAUGUAUUAGCUAUGCAAUCAAAUUUGAAUGAGAAGUUUAAUUUCGCAUUAAAUUUCCACAUUAUUUAGUAAUUUACCAAAUAGGUUAAUUUUUAAACUUUUAUUUAAAUACUAAGUCGUAAAUAAUUACACAAUAACAUCAUUCGAUCGCUCCUGACGCGCUAUCUCACUCGCACCUAUACGAUUAUAUAUUGCCUCGCGCUCGUACCUAUACCCUUGGUAUUGGGAUCCAAUAUGUUUGUCUGGCCUAGGUAGGAACUGUCGAAACUGUCUGGCAACUGAGAAAACAUCUUCUAAUAGUCACCCAAAUAACAUGUAUAAAUUUUAACUUUUAUACUAUAACGAAAGUAGAAUUAAAAUUUAUUAAAGUUUUAGGGCGUCUGGCAAGGGAUUGCCACCAUAAAAAGUGUCUGGCAAUAAAUAAGAUGGUUUGUAAUGUUAUUCCGAAUAACAUAUUAAAAAAUUACGCUUUAUAAAAUAACGAAAGUUGGCUGUUAUUUUAUGCACCUGUCCCACCCGCUACCCCCCAAAGCCACGAUGACUUGAAUUUCACAUUUUGCCAUCGUUCUUAUCUAUGUUCAAAGCAUACUUCAACAAACUUUCAGCUUUUAUAAAAUGACGAAGGUCUGGAUGUCACGGGCUCUUACUCUAAUAUGUGUGUAGACAUAUAUUGCACAUAUAAUCAUACGGGAUAGAAAUAGCCUGUGAUAGCAUACCCUUUGCCAAACAAAAACAAGCAGGGCUACAAAAAAAAUAAUUAGCACACAUAUGUACUUAUAUUCGCUCAAAUGCAUUUCGUGCAUAUUUAGGCAUAAAGCUAAUUGAUCUCUUUAACCAAAUCAUAAUCAUAAAAUCAUACAAACAAUUUGUGCAUGCUAAUUUAAAAAGGGAAUUGAUCUCUUCAACGAGCUCUCAGUUGCACAAAUUAUAAGUACGUACAUACGUAUGGACAUACAAGUCCACGUAUUAGGGUGUACCUAAAUACAAAACAUUCGGAAAUCGAAUAUUUUAAUAAAUAAAAAGCGCGGUUUUUAAUAGUAGUUUACUAUUGAACCAUUUACUCAACAUAAAAUAUAAAUAAAAAUAACAUCAUCACAAGUAUAAACAAAACGAUAUUAAUAAAAAAUACGUUUUUUUAAUGAUAUAAUCCGAAAUAGCAAACUCUUAUUUACAAAAAAUUGAGUUUACUUUUAUAUACUUUAUCGAUUCAUAUAGAUACUAGAACUCAGUUUACUCUGAAAUUUAAUUUAUUUUGAGAAAUAUUUUAAUCUAUAUAUAUAAAAGAAAGUUGUUGUUAGUUACACCAUUUAUAACUCAAGAGCGGCUGAACCGAUUUGGCUGAAAAUUGGGGGAGAGGUAGCUUAGAACCAGAGUAAAGACAUAGGAUACUUUCCAUUUCUUUAUAUUAGAAUCUAAUACAACUAAUAAAAACAAAAAUUAUAUUUCAUAUUUCAAAUUAUAAGUAUUUAUUAAAAAUUCAUGUUUGAAGAAAUCAUCUGAGGAUUACAUUUCUAUAAAAGAAAGUUGUUGUUAGUUACACCAUUUAUACCAUCCGGCUGAAGGGAUUUGGCUGAAAAUUGGUGGGGAGGUAGUUUAGAACCAGGGUAAGGACAUAGGAUACCUUUUAUCUCUUUAUGUCAAAGUUUAAUACAAUUCAUAAAUACAAAAAUUAUAUUUCAAAUCAUAAGCAUUUGUUCAAAAUUCAUGUUUGUAGGAAUAUUUGAAUAUUUCAUUUCUUAAAAAAAAAAAAAACAAUAAUAAAAACAAUACAAGCAACCUCACAUCUAUAUAUAUGUGGCAACGCCGUAUUCACCGCUUAUAAGCAACCCUUUGCUACGUUUACAACACUAUCCUUUAGCAACGCUGUACUACGUUUUUCAAUCUAGCUCUAAGCAACCCGGUUCCCAGAAUCCUAUCAUACUUCCCUUUCUCUACAUACCGUCUUGCCGAACGGACGUGUGCCCAGGCAACAUUUCAUUUUGUUAAAUAAUAUUUUUAAAUAAACAGUAAAAAUAAACAAUAAACUUCUAAAACUGGUGACCCCGAACAAGCGAAACGAAUCUACAGAUGGAACAGCAAGGAGAAAGCACCACACAGGCAUCUUAGCCCGCCUAAUAUGAACGACACCAUUAUUUUUUGUCACUGGAAUUCUGGUUCGCUGCUACAGGUUUGACCCGCGAUGCACGAAAAUACAAUCUGGUCAUGGCACAAGUUCUACCAAGCAACCUAAUGGAGCUAAAGGCCAUAAUCGACGCUACUCCCUCAAUAAAUCGUUACGACUACAUCAAGUCCAAACCUAUAGCUCAAUUCGCGGAAAGCGAACAACGACGCUUACAACGUGUUCUUUCCGACAUGCCAUUAGGCGACUUAAAACCAAGUCAACUAUUCAACGAAAUGCGCCGGAUGGCCAGCACAGCAUUUUGGGAGACAGUAGUAAUCGACCUCAAGCUGCUGUUAUCGCAUUAAAGGGUGGCGUAGCAGAUAAAGUUGUUAUUGCAGACGCCAUCGCGGACUCCAUGAAUUUUCGAGAAAAUAAGCAUGGUAGGUAACCAAGCACCGGCAACGGGCACCCCCACGCAAACUAACAAUAAGUCAACGCUAGAGGAAUUAAAGAAGGAAAUCGCGCAACUGACGAGGCAAAUCGAAUCCAUAAAAACGCACCGAUCACGAAGGCGUAGCCGAAGUCGACCGAGACAAGAACGAAAUACACGCCAGGAUUGCGCACAGGCAAACGAAUUAUGCUGGUAUCACCAUAAACUUUUCGACGGACUUUCUCAAUACCUUUUAAUAGACACCGGGGCAGACGGAUCGGUAAUUCCCAAAAUCACUCGAAACAACAACAUGAAGCCAUCAAUCGUUAAACUGUUUGCGGCAAACGGCACCCCAAUUACCGUAUACGGCGAAGUGCUUCUUAAAAUCAAUUUAGGCUUAAGGCGAGAAUUCCUUUGGAACUUCCUCAUUGCCGACGAGCGGAAUUAAUGGAGCCGAAUUUAUAAGUCACCAUGGACUGUUGGUUGACUUAAAAAAGAAACGAUUAGUCGACAACCUAACUUCAGUGACAUCGCCUGGGAAGCUCGUAGAUAACAAUAAAUUAUCUAUAAAAACAUUCGAUACGUCAUGCGUACAUGCAAGCCUACUGAAAGAGUUUAGCAAUUUAACACGCGUGGCACAACUCGGAAACCCAGCCGUAUCCUCAGUCGUUCAUCACAUCGAAACUUGCGGCCCAACUCUAUCUGCAUGACCAAGGCGCCUUUCACCAGAUAAACCGGCAGCGGCUACAGCAGAAUUCGAAAGUCUAAUCAAAUUGGGCAUCUCUCGCCCAUCGAACAGCAGUUGGGCCAGCCCUCUUCACAUGGUAAUGAAAGCAAACGGUACCUGGCGACUAUGUGGAGAUUUCAUGGCACUCAACAGUGUAACAGUUCCAGACUGAUAUCCAAUUCCAUACCUACAGGACUUCACCUGUAAUUUAAAUGGUAAGACGAUCUUUGCAAAGAUCGAUCGGCAAAAAGCCUUCCACUAGGUUCCCGUAAAUCCAGAGGAUGUUCCGAAAACUGCUAUUAUUACGCCUUUCGGCAUCUCCGAAUUUAUCUUUAUGCCUUUCGGUCUUCGCAUCGCAACGCAGACGCUACAAAGACAGCAGCUUUCGAAGAAUGUAAAACCCAGCUUUGGAAUGCAUCUCUUUUAGCGCACCCUCGAAGAACGCCGAGUUGCCAUUAUAUGUCGACGCUUCAGAUAAAGCUGCAGGAGCUGUUCUACACCAGGUAACGGACAGAAACUUCGAACCCUUAACAUACUUUUCAAAAAAAAUUCGACAAAGCGCAGGUACGUUAUAGCACUUAUGACAGAGAACUUACAGCAAUAUUCAUGGCCGUUAGUCAUUUUAAAUACAUGCUAGAAGGACGCAUCUGUCAUAUCUACAGUGAUCACAAACCACUAAUUUACGCAUUUCAGAAAAAUCCUGAAAAGUGUUUCAACCAACAAACUCGCCAACGUGAUUACAUUUCCCAGAUAACUACAGACAUUCGCCACGUAGAAGGGAAAAAGAAUGUAACAGCUGACAUGCUCUCCAGAAUUGCGCAAAUCCAAACAACCAGUAUAGAUUACAGCAAACUCUCUGAAAGCCGAAAAGUCGAUCAAUAACUCAAGUUUCUACUCCAAAACAACGUUAACUCAUCGCUUCAGUUAAAAUUAUUCACAAUACCUUGAUGCGAUAAACAAAUAGUCUGCGACGCAUCAGAAACAUAAGACCAUUCAUCACAAAGAAGUUCCGCUCUGAAGUGUUACGAGCUACUCAUGGAUUAUGCCACCCAGGUACUCGCGCUACAGCCAAACUACUGACAAGCAGAUUUGUUUGGCCUGGAAUUCAAAAAGACAGUAUUACAUUCGCAAGAGCAUGCGAGCAAUGCCAAAAGGCAAAAAUCACUCGACACACAUUUACGCCUCUCAAACGCUACGAGUCCGUAGACUCGCGAUUCGAUCACAUUAAUAUCGACGUUGUAGGACCAUUUCCCUUACAUGCAGGUAACCGUUAUUGUCUAACAAUCAUCGAGCGCUUUUCAAGAUGGCCAAAAGCUAUUCCUAUACCCGAUAUGACAGCAACAACUAUCGCAAAAAAGGUUGCACCGAACGUUGAAGGCUGCAAUUUUAUGCAUUAACUCCGAACGUUGGACCGACUUUCUACCAACAAUACUCUUGGGCCUACCAACCGUCUGCAAACAAGACUUAGGAGCGUCACCGGCAGAAUUAAUCUACGGUACACCAGAGCCGAAUUAAAACACAGUCAGAAUUUGUUCCUCAACUCCGAGACUUAAUGAACAUCAUCAGACCAUUCACUACAUCAUGGCACAGUUCAAGAAAAGUAUUUUGCCCAUCACUUUCAAAACCAUACGAAGGACCUCAAAAAGUUUUAUCACGAGAGGAGAAGUAUUACAGAAUUGAAAUAAAAGGAAAACCAGAAAUAUUUCUCUAGACGGAUUAAAGCCAGAAUAUUUACCGCAUGAAGAUUUAUCGCCACAAACUCACGGAACCUUAUCAACUGGAGUAGAACGCCGUCGAGUAUCUUUAGUUAGACUUUAGCUACGAUCUUAACCGUUCACCCCGUCUGGAGGGGGAUACUGUGGCAACGCCGUAUUCACCGCUUAUAAGCAACCCUUUGAUACGUUUACAUACUAACUUUUUCAUUCUAGCUGUAAGCAACCCGGUUCCUUUCUCUACAAACCGUCUUGCCGAAAGGACGUGUGCCCAGGCAACAUUUCAUUUUGUUAAAUAAUAUUUAAGUAUUUUUAAAUAAACAGUAAAAAUAAGCAAUAAACUUCUACUUAAAUAUAUAAAAGAAAGUUGUUGUUAGUUACACCAUUGAUAACUCAAGAACGGCUGAACCGAUUUGGCUGAAAAUUGGUGGAGAGGUAGCUUAGAACCAGGGUAAGGACAUAGGAUACCUUUUAUCUCUUUAUGUCAAAAUUUAGUACAACUCAUAAAUACAAAAAAUAUUUUUAAAUCUUAAGCAUUUGUUCAAAAUUUAUGUUUAUAGGAAUCAUUUGAAUAUAUGCGUACAAUUUUAAACAGAGUCUUCUCAAAAAUAAUACAAUUGCUAAAUAUUUGGAAUAGAAGAAAAGAACUGCAACCAAAUACGCAGUGAAAUAGAUCAUAACUGGCUCAGUAAUCAGUCGUUGAAUAUGUAUUGUACCACGUGCAUUCCAAAAGACUGAUAUCAUAACCUUUCCAGCCGCCUUUUUAGUUUUUCCACGCCUGAGAAUCGGUUCAUCAUGUGUAGUCCACUACAAUGACUGUCGAUUGGACUCCAGUGGGAAAUGGUGGAGCCAUGUUUGUAUCACUGACGAAAAAUUAUUUCGAUUAGAGAGCACUUAAACACUUCUCAGAAUCAGUUAUUCGUUGUUUUGUUGGAUUAUAAACUUGCGAGGCACCCACUUUGCACAGAGCUUUCGCCUCUUUAAGCUUAGCAAAUAUCUUUUCAUCGGUGGAUUUCCCUGAGGCCAAAUUCAUCAGUAUUUUCCUCCCAAAAGCAAUGAUUUAUUAACACACGAACUGCUCUUUGAUCCAUUUUUUGUAAACUAACACAAAUUGCUUCACAGAAAUGCUAUAUCUCAUUAACUAAUAAUUAUAAUCCAACUAAUAGAACUCAUAUAGAUGGUAGUACAGUAGAAACUCGAUUAACCGGACUAAUUGUUGUCGAUAGGUGUUCAAAUAUCAUUGAACAUGCUUACUUAUCAGCAAAGCCGAAAAGCUACUAAAUAGAAAUAUCUAUUUAUAUAUUAAUAUACAUACAUACAUACAUACAUACAAAAAUGCAGCUAAUAUAAGAAAAAUAUGUAAUAAGAAUACAAUACAGAAAAACAACCCUUAUGGUGGUUAUUGUAUUCUUCAGUAUAAAUCUCAAGUGCCUUAGUCACAAACACACACACACAUAUACAUACUUACAUAAACUAACAAAUAGAAAUGCAAUAGAUGCACACUAGCAAAUGCAUACAAAUGCAUUUGCUGAUAAACUAUACAUCUAUUUUUAGAUAAGACCAACGCACUUAUUAUGUGUUAUGCGUUGGUCUGAUAAUUAAUUUAAGAACAUAGGCUAAGAAUUUUUGUAUAAAAGGAGCUGUUCAAUAAAAGUAAAAUCAGAUUUGAAAGACAAUCUCAGCUUAAAAGACUUCUUUUAUUUAUAUUUUUUACUUCCCCCACCAGUGGUAAGGGGUAAAAGAAAAUAAAAGGAAAGAAUUAAAAUAAAGAGCAGUGCCUAUCACUUAUUACCCCCCACCCGAGGUAAGGAAUAAGUGACGCAGAGCUGCAAUAUCUUUAAUUAACAAUAGGCAUUCGGAUAAUCGAAAAUCCGGAUAAUCGAAUGUAUGAAGAAAAACAAAUAGAUAUUCAUAUCCUGCAACGAAAAUCAAUGUAUUAAGAAAUGAACACUUACUUAUGUAUGUAUGUAUGUACAUAUUUUCUUAGAUUACUCUACAUACGUAAUACUAAACUGCAGCAUUAAUCAUGAAAUACAAUAAAAUAUUUAGGUACGUAUGUACGAAUAAUUUGUCUACAAUAUGUAUUUGGUAAUUUGCAUUUGGUAAUCAUGAAGUAAGUAGGUAGGUAAUAAGUUUAAUUUGGUUUAAAAUAUUUGGUAAUUGUCAUUUGACGUAAGCAACUUUUUCUCUUCAUUGCUGCUAUAUCACGAAUUCGUUUCAGUUGUAGUAGAUUCACAGUAUCACCCUAGGGGUAUUCUUUCGCUCUCGCUCAAAUCCCUUGCACGGUGCAAGAAUUGCAUAUAUUUCCUCUCGGUGCACCGGCACAACAACAAACACACGCAGAAAUUUAUUUGCAAGGGCUGUAAAAUAUGUCAGACCAAAAACCUUGUAUAUUUGCGUGCAAUGUCAUGGAAAAAUAUAAUUGCAACCCUGUUUUAGCUGACUUUUUACAUAAAGUCAUAUAGCGUCGUUAAAUUGUCUCUUACGCUUUGGCAGGUUUAAAUAUGUAGACGUGACACGCACGUCAGAGCGGAGUCACAAUUGAAAAUGAACUAAAACAAUAAUGAAACGCGCGGGGCAGCGGCAGCGACCCCACACUGCGCGAGCGGAAUAUGCAAGUUCCGACACGUUCGUGAUUCCAUAAUUUCUACGUAGGUACAUAUAAAUUGGUCGCGAUUGGUAGUCCGGAUAAUCGCGAAUCCGUAUAAGUGAGGGCCGGAUAAACGAGUUUCUACUGUAGUAGUAUUAUCUAUGUAUCAGCCACAGUGAAACGUGGACGGGCCCUCUAGUUUUAUAUAUUCCUAGUCGUACAAAAACGGAGAGAACAACUCAGGAGCAGCUGCAACAUUACAUAAUGUUUUGCAAGCAGCAUCCUGAGUUGCAGCGCGGGAAGCUAACUCCGACCAACCCUCAAGGGCUGCAAAUACUUUGGUCGGAGUUAGCAGACAAUUUAAAUGCCUUAAGAGGCCCAACUCGGUCGGCAGCCAAGUGGAAGGAGUCAUUAAUGCAUUGGAAACACCAGUUGCGAUCGCGAGCGCGCAAACUGAAAACACAUGCGCAAUCGACUGGUGGAGGCCGUCCGAUAAGUGGAAUGACUCCAUUCGAGGAGCAAGCCAUAACAACAUUUGGGGCAGCAGCGGUAGAUGGAUUGCCGGGUGUUGCGACUUUGGGUCAUCAGCUAUUUCAAAACUAAAAUGGAAAUAACAAGCCGAAUAUUGGUGGUAUUAUUAUUAUUGUCUAAGAAGGUUAAUGGAUCCAAACGUAGUUUCAUAGAACCUUAUUCUAUGACUCCGGAGGCAGUUCCAGUUAUUACUGCUGCACUAUUGGAAUGCUCAAAAAAACUUAAGGAGAACAACCGAGAGCAAUUGGAAAACUACCAACAAAUUCGGAGGCAUUUGUUGGUAAACAUUCGUGUCAACCCCAGUUUUAACCUUGAAAAGGUGGACCAAUUUCUAAUACUGGAUGAAAUAUUUGAUGCAAAAGAGAGGUCAAAGGCUAAAAUCAUGUCACCUUAUUUAAUUGAAAUUAGCAGAGGCGAGCCAGUAAUGAUGUAUCCAUUGGAAUUUUCUGAGUCUUUGAAACUCAAUGAUUCGAAUAGAACUCAGUUAAUCGAUGAUAUAUCACAGAAUUCCCAAAAUGGGACAUCUUCCAAUCAAAUACGAAAAGUCCAAAAAUUCAAGUCAGGUUCAAUUUCGGAGGGAGAAGAAGCGCACAAAAAAAAAUUGUCUAGUUUCGCAAGAGUAUCAGGGUAUGAUCAAUUAUUAAGCAAUUUUCACGAAGAAAGCUGUUGUAAGCCAAAUGGUGUAUAUUUUGCAAAUGAUUUCGGUCCAUCUAAAGCUAACGGAAAUAAUAUAUUGUCAAUCUCAAAUGUAAGUGUAGAAAAUCAACUAGCGGAACCAUUAAAAAGUAGCACUUUAGACAAAAAAAAAAAUCGAGAAAAUUUUAAAACGAAAGCUACUUCGCCAAAAGCUUUGAUGAUAGUUCAUGACAACAAAUCUGAUAAGCAUACCGCCCAUAAAAUUAAAGAUAUUUUUCAAGCCAAACGACAGGUUGAUAUAUGGAAAGACAAUAGCGGUAAAUUUGAAUCUACAGAUUUUGUUUUAGCUGAACCAAAAAUUAAGUGGGGAGAUCCUUAUGAUGGUUCAGAUAAAAGUAAAGAUGAAAUAAAAAAUUUAAUUCACAAUCAACAUUCAAGACUUAAACCGUCGGUCAGUCCAGGUUCACGUAGGGGCCAUAAAAAGGCUGGUAAACUGAGAUUUUCGAAACACCGUCAACGUCCAAAAAUUUUUGAGAGUGGAGGUAAUAAUUACUCCAUAAGCUCAGAGGAAUUGAAUCGAUACUUUGAAACCCGAUGUUGGCCAAGAAUUUAUAACAGUUUAGAUGAAAUAACUGCUGAUUUUGCUUUGAGUAACAGAAAACGAACUGCUUUAAAUGAUAUAAACACCAAAAGCAAAUAUGAAAAUGAACCUAAACAUAUAUUUGAAGGAAGUGAAAUUUUUCAAAAAGAUUCAAAUGGCGCCCGGUCCUUCUCAGUUAUUAAAGAAAAGCAGCAGAAUAAUGGAAAGUACGAUGAAUUAAUUAAAUACAGAGUUCGUAAGCCAACUAAAAUCAUUCGUAAUUCUAACAUUAAACCUAAUGAAGAUCUAAGAGGAAGUGAAAUGGAAGUUUCUAAGAAAAAAACAAAGAGUGGCGAAGGUUUAAUUGCAUCAAACGGAUUUCAAGCAUCCGGAAUAUUUUUAAAAAACUUGAACCGGGGUAUAUUGCAAGGCCUUUCUAGAAGAGAAAGAAAUACAUUCGACUUCAACAGAUUUUAUGAAGAAUAUUUAUUCCCGCAAACUGGUAAAAACUUCCCAAAAAAGUUUCAAAAUCGACAAUCACCUAAAUUUCUGCCUAAACUGCAACAAUUUGGGCGAAAUAUUGCAGAUCUCCAUCAUGAACUGAAUGCAUUUAUUGAAAGCUCCAAACAAAAACGAAGCUUCACUCAUUACAAUGAUUUAGCAGAACGAAAUCCAUUGUACAAGAACGACUAUGAUUAUGAUUUCAUAGAUUAUAGUAAAUAUAUAUCAGACUCAAAGUCUCGGAAUAUAGACGAGGAUGAACAGCCAUGUUCUUCAUGUGGUGGCAAGAGUAAGAAACCUCCCACAAAAACUGACAGCAACAUAAUGACUAGGAAUAAUAAAUGUAAUUGCAAAGGAUAUCAACAAGAAUGUCUAUGCAGCUCGAGAAAAGCUCCACGCUCAUUAUACGAUACCUGGUAUUCAGUCUUCAACAUGAAUGCGCCCUUGCCGUUCCUAACAACGAAAUUGAGGAUAUUCCGCAAAAAGAAAAAUAUUUGGUUCCAAACUGCUCCAUCAAUAACGCUGAGCAGCUUAUCCGGAACAUUUGUCAACGCGAAUCUCUCGAUUUUGUUCUCAUCCCAUGUGGACAUAAUUCAGUUGGAAAAAUCUUUUCUCAUACAAAAACAGCGAUUACUCAUACCGCAGGAUGACAUGAAUGCAUUUCAGCGAAACGUAUCAGAUAAAAUUAGUGGAAAUAUUAUGGACUCGAAUCAAAUUUAUCCUGAAAAUGAAAAGUUAGCGUGCCACCCUUUCGAUGGUCAACACUUAUUUUUACAGGAAUUUCCGUAUUUCGCCGGCUCAAAAGAGCGUCUUAAAAGAAAAUCUUUAAUAUCAUUUGUAAAGACAAUUGCUGAUUUAGGCUAUUUUCCAACAACUGUCAAUAUAUUAGAUCGAUGUCUAAACAACUCAACUAGACUUUGUUUAAAUAUGUUGAGUGACAAAGUUCCAGCGUACAAUAUAAAACUAAAGAUGCCAUUCCAAGAAAACAAUAUUAUUUACCAGAACUCAUUUAAAGUGAAAAUAGCACGGAUUAUUACAGACACCACAACGAAAAAUAUUCUUCAAAUUUCAGUUGAAGUCAUCAGCGAAAGUUUGGUCCUUCACAUUUUCUCAAUAUCAAUCAGUAAUUGUGGUAUACCAUGCACUGCUGCCAAAUCAAAUGUUAUGAGACGCCUACUACCAUUUAUUGGAGAUACCAUUACUUUUUUGUUUCCAUUAAUGCAAGAUACAUACUAUACCCGCCGACAAUUUAAAUGUGACGUGUUGGUGAAAGUUGAUAUUGAUACAAACAGUACACAUUGUGUAGCGGGAAAUCAAUCUAAAACUAAUUCCGAAGUUUUAAUAAAGAAAAGCUCUACAACAAUUUCUUCUCGCGCAAUUUUUGUUGAAGCUGAAAAUCGAUGUUUCUGUGUGUGGCACUGUAAUUGUCAUUGCAUCACAAAAUUGGAAACUCAUGUAAAUUUCAAUAUUUGUAACAAAAUGGAAUACCAAGAUAGACAGAAAGCGGGAAUAUUUCCAAACUAUGCUGCUAGCGGAUAUUUUGAACACAAUUUUAGUGAAUAUGAGACAGCACGUAACCAAGAAGUACUUUAUAUUUUGAUAAAAAACGCAAGCAUUCUAUUACUAAUAAUGCUCAUAUUGGGUCUAUUAAAAGCAUUGACUGGAAGGUUUUUUUCAACUUCUAUUGACCGGUGUGGAUUUGAUUUUGUACAAGGUGGCAAGAGAUAUGAAGACUCUUCCGACAGUCGCAGAUUUUUUAUAAAUGUGGUUCUGUUCAUUGUUUUUCCGUUUUCUUUCUGGUGGAAAUGCUUUGCUCCCUCAGACUGUGAUCUACUUGCAGCAAGCACAGAGUGGCAAUGUGCGAUUUAUGUACCCAGUCCUAUCUUAUCGGAAGACAAAAGUUAUUCAAGUACGAAAGAGCGACUCAAUACCAAAAAAUUAGAUAAAAAUGAAAACAUCUUACUACCUCAGCAUAUGGACUGCUGCUCUAAAACUAUGGUUGACUCUUCGAAAUGUAACAAUAUACUAAUGCGUUUAAAAGCUGGUGAUAACUUGUGUGACACCAAACAACAUCUUAAUAACAUUCGAAGUGUUAUAUAUAAUGAAUUUUUAGAUAUUAACAAAACCGAUGAUACUGACGAAGAGCAUAAUACAAAGUAUAUUCUAAAGAUACUAGCUGAAAGCAGAGAAUCUCUGAAAAAUCUGCUGCAGUCGUCUAGAAUCAAUACUUUAAACUUUCAAGAUGGAACAGAUGAGAAGUUACGACAAGCAAAUACAUUUGUCGAAACACUCAGUGAUGAACAAAUUAUAUAUAGAACUUUUGAUCAUCCCGUAGGAAAUGUGCAAAAUAUACCUUACGGCGUUAAAUACUGUAUACAAGGAUAUUUUCUUCCUUCUUCAGGAACAAUGUAUGAAUUCGUUAGUUAUCAUCCAUUGAUGCAAUAUUAUGGAUUCACUCCGGACGGAACUUCCAUGGAAGUUUUACGUCCACCAGUUCUUUUACAUUCCAAGGAAUUCAACCGCAUGUAUCAAGAUAAGUUAGAAGUACUGAAUGCAAAGGAUUUGCAUAUGCAGCCACCGUAUUGUGUACCUUGUAUCAACGUGUCAUCUCCCGAUAUCAUAUCACGUUUUCUGUUUAACUUAUCAUCAAAUAAAAAAUGCUCAAUACAGCACUGCUAAAAAAUCAGAUUAAUCUAACGAGUGUAGAAACGGAACUAUUUCAAAUUUACAACUGAUACCUUUCUUAUGCAAAUUUAUUAUUUUCUGUAAGUAUGAAUGGUAAACUUUUCACAUUUUCAUUUAAUGUAUUUGUAAAAUUAAAAUUAAAUUUAAAAUAUGAAGACUCAGGUAUUAUAUUUUAAUAUU